AAAGAGAUUGGUUAAAAAAGUGACUAAUCUCGUUGGUUGAGGCAAUAUUGGUCAAAUUAACUGUGACAUUGGUAACUAUUAAACAAACAAAUUGGUUAUCUAACAACUAAUAUCAUUGGUUAAGAACAAAUUGGUUGAUUUAACAAAGAUAUUGGUUAACUUUAAUAACAGAUUGGUUGAAAAAUGACUAAUAUAAUUGGUUAAGCAAAUGUUAACUAAGAGAUUGGUAACUGACGCAGGUCUGGCGCUCAACGUCAAGUACGUAACUCUGCUUCUCAAUUUUCUGACAAAGCCGCCAUCUUGGUGCUGCAGGAAAGCCGUUUGAGAUAUUGGUGGAAUUCAAACACUUUGUGAGAUGACAGAAUAUUGCUGAAGGAUCCUACAUGGAAGCUUGCUGAUUACACGGAGUGAUUCCUCUGGUGUGGUGUACCUCAGAGAAAUAAACACUGUUGCAAGAGCUGAGAAGAUGGCCAAGAUAUCCUUAUUGCUGGAUGGUAGCUCUGGUCGUAGUGGACCAUAUCUGCAAAUGCUUCUGAACAUUGACAGAAUUUCUAAAGAUGACUGAGAAUAUUACUGAAGGAUCCUACAUGGAAGCUGUCUGAUUACACUGAGUGAUUCCUCUGGUGUGGUGUACCUCAGAGAAAAUAAACACUGUUGCAAGAGCUCAGAAGAUAUCCUUAUUGCUGGAUGGUUGCUCUCUGGUCUUACUUGAGCCCCCUGGACCAUGUCUGCAAAUGCUUCUGAACAUUGACAGAAUUUCUAAAGGAUCGCUGAGGACUCCCCCUCCAUGCGUGACAUCUUUGAGAAAUUUCCACGCUUUCUGGAGAUGCCAAGUUUGACUGGAACCAACUUUGCAUCCCUCGGCACUGACACUGAGAAGGUUUCAAGGACCCCACUACUAGGAGGCGAGAGUUUGACACGGCAGUGUCAUCACUGCCAUGGAUGACAAUGUAACCAUUCCUGUUGCUGAUUGCCUGACUUGCGCAGUGACAAGCUUUUCAUGCUCUACUGGGUGUGUAACUUGGCAUAUCCACCACAGUUUAACUCUGUUUUUGCCUCUUUUGAAUAUGUGUACGAUAUAACCAUCUCAACCAAAAAGUGGGCCAAGGUACUGGAACAUUUCUCACUUCAAGUUGCUCUGUAGUCACUGGACAUGUUUUAAAACAUCUACGCAAACACCACCACUCCACACCAUGUGUAUUUUAAUUACUUCUGAUUCCACUGACAUGCAGACUACAUCCUAUGCAGAUUCAGGUAAUUUACCUGGUACUGGAGAAACAGCAUUGUAUGCCAUUCUAAGUGAUACUUGCCUCCUUGUUUUGCAAAAAUGUACUGUUCUUUGAAUAUAACUUAAAGUAAGAUCAUGUUGACUCUGAGGUUUUCUCCGGUUGUCAAGCACAACCUUAACGUUUUGUAAGUAAGUAAUAGUCACAGGAUAUGCAUGCAUUUGUGAUUUGAAUUUUCGUCGAAAACGGCUCACCAAGCAUAAAAUGUUACCUCUGCUUUUGAUUUUUCUUUUUUUUUAAAUGUCCCUUAGUACCAGCCUGUCUUUUUGUUGUGUCCACACAACUUUACCAUCAUCAGUGUUGGGAAGGAACAGAUUGCUGUAAGUUACUGUAUCCCCAUCCUUUCAGAUCAGUGCUUUAAAGCCUUUUGAAAUUAAAUUGUUAAUAAACUUUGUGAAAAUAAACUCAAAUCUUUGUUAUUGGUUAUGAUUGAUAUAGCUUUGAAACUGUUAAUUUGGAGUGAAGUAAUUGCAGUGUCCAUCUAACCAAGCAAAUCGGUUAAAAUUUUAACCAAUAUCUGUGUCGGACACAUAUUAAUCGAACAAAUUGGUCAAAACAACCAUUGGGGGAUUGGUACAUUUUUGACUUAUAAAGAUUGGUUAAACAUAACCAAUCUAUUGGUCAAAACAACCGAUUUGGAAUUGGUUAGUUUUUUAACCGAUCUAGAUUGGUUGAAAUUUUAACUGAAGUCUAAUCGGUUAUUUUGACUAAUAUUUUUCUCGGACACAUAUUAAUCGAACAGAUCGGUUAAAAACUACUAAUUUUUUGUUUAUUUUAACC